rnacentral:rRNA from 1 species
UACGUAGGGUGCAAGCGUUGUCCGGAAUUAUUGGGCGUAAAGAGCUCGUAGGCGGUCUGUUACGUCGGCUGUGAAAACCUGCAGCUUAACUGUGGGCGUGCGGUCGAUACGGGCAUCACUGGAGUUCGGCAGGGGAGACUGGAAUUCCUGGUGUAGCGGUGAAAUGCGCAGAUAUCAGGAGGAACACCGGUGGCGAAGGCGGGUCUCUGGGCCGAUACUGACGCUGAGGAGCGAAAGCGUGGGGAGCGAACAGG